AGUAUGAAAGUUAAAUUUCCAUUUACAAUUCGAAGUGGGGUUUGUUUUUUUAUUUUACCAUUAAUUUUGAAUGACCGGACAAAUAUAAUACCAGGAUAAAUACAGGAUGAAGGAGACUAAACAUUUUCCAUAAACUCAAGCAAAUUCAACCAAAUUGGAAUUCAAGUACAGUAUGAAAGUUAAAUUUCCAUUUACAAUUCGAAGUGGGGUAAGCAGAACACUUGUUUUACAAUUCGGCUUCUAAUUCAACCAAGUCCAUCGAAUUUUAUGAGUUUCAAACUUCGAUAAUCGUCACUUAUCUACGAUUCCACAUUACACUGAAGCUUCAGUUGUAGGCCUACCGGGUUACUAACAUAGAUUUAAUAAUCAAAACUUGUAAACUUGUUAUUUUGUAACUUCAGAAAUGAAAUUGAUUUUAUGUUGAAAAUAUAAGAUUCAAUCGGACUUGGCUUAAAUUUUAUUUCAACCAGGAUUGCCAAAAUAUUCACUGGCCCUCAUGACCAGCAUUGCUUCCUACUUGUUAGGCAGUCUUAUUUGAGAUUACUC